CUAACAGUUGGUGGCCUGGAAGGGCCAAAGGUGGAAGUUCAGGCAUGUAUCAUUGCCAGUGAAGGGAGCAAACAAAGGAAGGGGAGGAGCUGGAGAUAUAUCCCGUUGCUAGGCCGCUUUCCGGGCAGGAGGACAGCACAAAGAGAAAGGAAGAGGCUGACAGCAUGAACAGAGCCAACGCAGUUUCCCGGAGCAUCCUUCCCCAUCCUUAUUCAGAACCCAAACUGCCUGCCUGGCCCCUGAGCUGCUUGUUGGCUUUGCAGGUGAGUUGGGUUGCUGCAAGGUAGCACUGCAGCUGAGAAGAAUCACAUCCUGAAGAAAAGGGAACCGCCUUGCGAUAAGGGCCAUGACAGAUGUGCAAAGGUCCAGCAUCUGGUGGUUAGAUACAGGCAAAGUAUGAUUCCAGGCUCCUGGCUACUCAGCUUCAGCCAAGAGUCAAGGUUUGAGGGCUGACAGUGGGGUGAGAAUCACCUGGGUUAGAGAACUGAGGGCUGCUGUAUCCUGACGUGGACUGCUAGGGAUGGAUUAAAGGUGGAACUGUGGGUUUGGCUGAGAUGAAUGGCUGAGCAGGGGUGUCACUGGGGCUAGAAGCCUUGCUAAGAUUGUGGCUCUAUAGGUGCGUCAUGCCGACUUUUGGGCAAGGGUCUGUGGCUGGGUGCUGUUCAGGCUCACCACAGCCUGCUGUUCCUCCCCCCACCCCUCCCCACCAGCAUCUCCUGGUCCAGGUGUCUUUUCUCUGCAUCUUUCACUUUCUCUUCAUCACCACCCUCCCACAUGAAGAAGUGAGUGGGACGCCGCAUUGGGAUGAGCUUCUGGCACGCAACCUCUUUGCCUGUGGCAUUUCCACAGCCUUACAGUGCGGACUGGGGGCCAGGUUGCCAUUGGUUCAGGCUCCAUCAUUUGAGUUCCUCAUCCCAGCUAUAGUACUGACCCAACAUAUUGCUCCCAUUCACCAUUUGAAAGGAAACAGCACUGAAGUUCCUGAUGUAUGUGCUGGGCCAGACUGUGAAAACACAAGAAACUGGGACCAGUUAUUCUGUGAGGUCUCUGGCGCAGUGCUAGUCUCGGCUCUGGUGCAGCUGGCUUUGGGGGUGUCUGGAGCCUGUGGGUGGAUUGCCCAUCGUUGUGGCCCCAUGGUUCUGGCACCAAGCCUGUCUGUCAUUGGACUGUCGGCAUACAGGCCUGCUGCUCUUCUCUGCUCUGAGAACUGGGGAGUAGCUCUGCUGCUUGUGUCGCUGAGUGUUUUGCUAUCACAGCACCUCGCUUCUUGCCGGCUGCCCCUCUGCCAGUGGAGCCAAGACAAGGGACUCUCUCUUAGAAUGGGAGGCCCAGCUCUGCACAUGUUUUCAGUUCUGCUGCCAUUCUGUGGAAUCUGGCUCAUCUGUGGGAUUUUGAGACCUGCUCCAACCCCUUGGGACAUGUUACAUCCUUCUGCCCACCACAUGAUUCUUACCAAUGGCACCUUGCACUCCCCAUGGCUUAAGAUGCCUUACCCAGGUGAGCAGGGCUGGCCAGUGUUCAGUCCCCGUGCAGUGGGCAUCGGUGCUGCUAUGGGUCUCGCUGCAAGUGUGAAUUCUGUAGGCUGCUACUUGCUGUGUAGCAAGGCCCUCCGGGAUCCACCCCCACCGCAACAUUCAUGCAACAGAGGGCUCUGUUGCGAAGGCCUCGGCAGUCUCCUGUCUGCCGUGCUGGGGAGCAUAUCUGGAACCGCGUCCAGCAUGCCCAACGCUUGCGCUGGCAGCCUGACCCAGGCAACUUCGUUUCGCUCAGUGUGGGUCAGCGCAUUGGCAUGUGUAUUGCUGGGCCUGUCUCCCCGGCUUGUGAGACUCCUUACCACCAUUCCUCUGGGAAUUCAUGGAGGAGUGCUGUGUAUGACGUACAGCGUGGCCGUGGGCACUGGAGUCUCCUACUUCCAACACACAGACAUUGACUCAGGCAGGAACAUCUUCAUUGUGGGCUUCACCAUUUUCAUGGGAUUGCUGGUUCCAAAGUGGCUCUUCGCUGCGCCAGAGUCGCUGGCCACAGGUUGGGUUCCUGUGGAUCUCUUUCUCCUUUCUCUGUUGAUGGUUCCAGCCUUUAUUACUGGAUUCCUGUCUUUCUUCUUGGAAAACACAGUCUCGGGCACCCUGCAGGAGCGUGGUCUGCUCAGCCAUUCAUCAUCUUGCAAGCCAGAGACAGGGGACAAUUCUUGGCAGCAAAACAGCAAGGGUUCUGCCCAAAGAUAUGAGUUGCCUCCAGCCCUGAGGAAGCACCCGCCAUGCUCAAGGUGCAAGGGCUUUCCUCUCUGUCUGCUGUGUCCCCUUGAAAAAGACAAAGAAGAGAUGGUGAAUGUUCAUGGCCUGGAAGAAUUGUACCAUUCGGAAGGGGAAGCCACAGACCUUCUGCUGAACCAGGGAACAGUGAAGCUGGAGUCAGAAUUGGAGCCGGGGACAGAGCAGGAGCCUGGCAUUGCACGAGGAAAUUUGGAGAAUCAUGAAUGUGGCAAACAGGUAGCUCAAGAGACAAUGCCGCUGUGCUGAUCUUGGGAUACGUUUUGAAAUGCAGGCGCUCAUCAUACCAGUUCCUGUAGCCACCCCUCAAAGAGAGUCCAAACAUUCAGGCAGCUGGGCUGAUCCAUAUCAACAAACUGGUUCUAGGAGCUUUCAUCUCCUAGAAAAGGCAUUAUGUGAGGUUAAUGCAUUUAAGCUGCUCAUUUGAAACCAAGCCACUCCAAAAUACUUUGCAUUACCACAGGGAUACCUCCCAACAAGAAACUGCUGCUGCUGGGAAAAUGCCUUCUCCCCACAACCCCAAGUUAUUGUGAGAAUUGCAGCUAAGCUCAGGGGGAACAAGGAAGUCUUGCUAAUCAGAACAACAAGGCACUUCAACCCUGCAUGCCCUGGCUUCACUACACCACUGUCUGGAGGAGAGUCCUUAUUUGGACAGAAACAUUAUACAAGCACAGUUGGAUGAAUCUGCAUGGUGGAAGAAGGAAGGUUGACAUCCCAUGUAC